UAAAGCAAGAAAGGGCGUAUGGGGAAUGCCUAGGCACACUCCGGCGAAGAAGGACGCAGCAAACAGCGAAAUGCGACGGUGAGCGGUAAGCACGUGAAGAGCCGUCGAUAUCCGAAUGGGGGAACCCACACGGAGUCAUAUCCGUGUAUCACAUGUCGAAUACAUAGACAUGAUGAGGCGAGACGCAGGGAACUGAAACAUCUAAGUACCUGCAGGAAGAGAAAAUAAGAAUGAUUUUCUGAGUAGCGGCGAGCGAAAGGGAAAGAGCCCAAACCGAUCUGAGGAUCGGGGUAGUAGGAUCAUCGAUAAAUCAAACAGAGGAUCAUAGAGGAAUCACAUGGGAAGGUGAGCGAGAGAGGGUGAGAGCCCCGUACUCGAAAUGAGAGACUGGAGAGAGAUGACACCUGAGUAGGGCGGGACACGAGAAAUCCUGUCUGAAUCAGCCGGGACCAUCCGGCAAGGCUAAAUACGAGAGAGUGACCGAUAGUGAACCAGUACCGUGAGGGAAAGGUGAAAAGAACCCCGGGAGGGGAGUGAAAGAGAACCUGAAACCAUAUGCCUACAAGAAGUCAGAGCCCGUUAAAGGGUGAUGGCGUGCCUUUUGUAGAAUGAACCGGCGAGUUACUGUAUGGAGCGAGGUUAAGCAGGAUAUGCGGAGCCGAAGCGAAAGCGAGUCUUAAGAGGGCGCGAGUUGCAUGCAGUAGACCCGAAACCGGGUGAUCUAGCCAUGACCAGGUUGAAGUUGGGGUAAAACCCGAUGGAGGACCGAACCGACCCCCGUUGAAACGUUGGCGGAUGAGUUGUGGCUAGGGGUGAAAUUCCAAUCGAACCCGGAGAUAGCUGGUUCUCCCCGAAAUAGCUUUAGGGCUAGCGUCGAGAGAAGAGUUGCGUGAAGGUAGAGCACUGAAUAUGUGAUGGCCCCAUCUCGGGGUACUGAGCAUAAUCAAACUGCGAAUGUCACGAGAACAUGCUCGGCAGUCAGACAGCGGGUGAUAAGGUCCGUUGUCAAGAGGGAAACAGCCCAGACCAUCAGCUAAGGUCCCAAAAUGUAUGCUAAGUGGAAAAGGAUGUGGAGAUGUACAGACAACUAGGAGGUUGGCUCAGAAGCAGCCAUCCUUUAAAGAGUGCGUAACAGCUCACUAGUCGAAUGACUCUGCGCCGAUAAUUUACCGGGGCUAAGCAUACUACCGAAGCUAUGGAUCCCAAGGGAUGGUAGGGGAGCGUUCCAUGAACGGAGAAGUACGACCGAAAGGACGUGUGGAGAUCAUGGAAGAGAGAAUGCCGGUGUGAGUAGCGGAACGUGGGUGAGAAUCCCACGCACCGAAAACCCAAGGUUUCCAGAGGAAGGUUCGUCCGCUCUGGGUAAGUCGGGACCUAAGGCGAGGCCGAAAGGCGUAGUCGAUGGACAACAGGUAGAGAUUCCUGUACCCGUAUAUAUGUGAAGGAAUGACGGAGAGAGGAAGCUGCAGCCAGCGGCUGGAAGAGCUGGUGCAAGCGAGAUAUCGGGAUGGCAGGCAAAUCCACCAUCCGAAACGAGAAGGCGUGAAGCGUACGGAAAGCUACGGCGAGUACGGAAGGCAGUGGAGGAACUUCCAAGAAAAGUUUCUAACGUUAAGUAUAUAUGGCCCGUACCGAAAAUGGACACACAUGGGUGAGGAGAGAAUCCUAAGGUGAGCGAGAGAACUAUAGCUAAGGAACUCUGCAAAAUGACUCCGUAACUUAGGGAGAAGGAGUGCUCAUAGAGAUAUGAGCCGCAGUGAAACGGCCCAAGCGACUGUUUACCAAAAACACAGCUCUCUGCUAAGCCGCAAGGCGAAGUAUAGGGGGUGACGCCUGCCCGGUGCUGGAAGGUUAAGGGGAGGGGUUAACGCAAGUGAAGCCCUGAACUGAAGCCCCAGUAAACGGCGGCCGUAACUAUAACGGUCCUAAGGUAGCGAAAUUCCUUGUCAGGUAAGUUCUGACCCGCACGAAAGGCGUAACGAUUUGAGACUCGGUGAAGUCUUAGUACCUGUGAAGAUGCAGGUUACCCGCGACUAGACGGAAAGACCCCAUGGAGCUUCACUGCAGGUUGAUAUUGGGAUUUGAUGCAGCAUGUACAGGAUAGGUAGGAGGCAAAGAGAUGGAUACGCCAGUAUUCAAGGAGCCGCUGUUGGGAUACUACCCCUGUUGUAUUGGAUUUCUAACCGGACGACGUAGAGCCGUUGACGGGACAGUGUCAGUCGGGCAGUUUGACUGGGGCGGUCGCCUCCCAAAGAGUAACGGAGGCGCCCAAAGAUACCCUCAGCUUGGAUGGAAACCAAGCGCAGAGUGCAAAGGCAAAAGGGUGUUUGACUGCGAGACCCACAAGUCGAGCAGGGACGAAAGUCGGGCUUAGUGAUCCGGCGGUGCUGAAUGGAAAGGCCGUCGCUCAACGGAUAAAAGCUACCCUGGGGAUAACAGGCUGAUCUCCCCCAAGAGUUCACAUCGACGGGGAGGUUUGGCACCUCGAUGUCGGCUCAUC
rnacentral:rRNA from 1 species